rnacentral:rRNA from 1 species
GUCGAGGGUAACAGGAGAAGCUGCUUUCUGCUGACGACCGCGCACGGUGAGUAACGCGUAUAGAACCUACCUUUACAGGGAAUAGCCCAGAGAAAUUUGGAUUAAUGUCCUAUAGUAUUAUUGAGUGGCAUCAUUUAGUAAUUAAACAUUUAUGGGUAAAAGAUGGCUAUGCGUUCUAUUAGCUAGAUGGUAAGGUAACGGCUUACCAUGGCAACGAUAGAUAGGGGUCCUGAGAGGGAGAUCCCCCACACUGGUACUGAGACACGGACCAGACUCUACGGGAGGCAGCAGUGAGGAAUAUUGGACAAUGGAGGCAACUCUGAUCCAGCCAUGCCGCGUGCAGGAAGACGGCCCUAUGGGUUGUAAACUGCUUUUAUACGGGAAGAAACCCAACUACGUGUAGUUGGCUGACGGUACCGUAAGAAUAAGCACCGGCUAACUCCGUGCCAGCAGCCGCGGUAAUACGGAGGGUGCAAGCGUUAUCCGGAAUCAUUGGGUUUAAAGGGUCCGUAGGCGGGCUAAUAAGUCAGGGGUGAAAUCCAACAGCUUAACUGUUGAACUGCCUUUGAUACUGUUAGUCUUGAAUUAUAUGGAAGUAGAUAGAAUGUGUAGUGUAGCGGUGAAAUGCUUAGAGAUUACACAGAAUACCGAUUGCGAAGGCAGUCUACUACGUAUAUAUUGACGCUAAUGGACGAAAGCGUGGGGAGCGAACAGGAUUAGAUACCCUGGUAGUCCACGCBGUAAACGAUGGACACUAGUUGUUGGAUUUAUUCAGUGACUAAGCGAAAGUGAUAAGUGUCCCAC